AGAGUUUGAUCAUGGCUCAGGAUGAACGCUAGCUACAGGCUUAACACAUGCAAGUCGAGGGGAAACGACAUCGAAAGUUUGCUUUUGAUGGGCGUCGACCGGCGCACGGGUGAGUAACGCGUAUCCAACCUGCCCACCACUUGGGGGAUAACCUUGCGAAAGUAAGACUAAUACCCAAUGACGUCUCUAGAAGACAUCUGAAGGAGAUUAAAGAUUUAUCGGUGAUGGAUGGGGAUGCGUCUGAUUAGCUUGUCGGCGGGGUAACGGCCACCAAGGCGACGAUCAGUAGGGGUUCUGAGAGGAGUCCCCCACAUUGGGAACUGAGACACGGUCCAAACUCCUACGGGAGGCA
rnacentral:rRNA from 1 species